rnacentral:rRNA from 1 species
GACGAACGCUGGCGGCGUGCUUAACACAUGCAAGUCGAACGGUAAGGCCCUUCGGGGUACACGAGUGGCGAACGGGUGAGUAACACGUGGGUGAUCUGCCCUGCACUUCGGGAUAAGCCUGGGAAACUGGGUCUAAUACCGGAUAGGACCCUGGGAUGCAUGUCCUGGGGUGGAAAGCUUUUGCGGUGUGGGAUGGGACCGCGGCCUAUCAGCUUGUUGGUGGGGUGAUGGCCUACCAAGGCGACGACGGGUAGCCGGCCUGAGAGGGUGGCCGGCCACACUGGGACUGAGAUACGGCCCAGACUCCUACGGGAGGCAGCAGUGGGGAAUAUUGCACAAUGGGCGCAAGCCUGAUGCAGCGACGCCGCGUGAGGGAUGACGGCCUUCGGGUUGUAAACCUCUUUCAGCACCGACGAAGCGCAAGUGACGGUAGGUGCAGAAGAAGGACCGGCCAACUACGUGCCAGCAGCCGCCGUAA